rnacentral:rRNA from 1 species
AAUUAUCAUUAAGCGGAGGAAAAGAAACCAACAGGGAUUGCCUCAGUAACGGCGAGUGAAGCGGCAACAGCUCAAAUUUGAAAUCUGGCCCCAGGCCCGAGUUGUAAUUUGCAGAGGAUGCUUUUGGCGCGGUGCCUUCCGAGUUCCCUGGAACGGGACGCCAUAGAGGGUGAGAGCCCCGUACGGUUGGACACCAAGCCUUUGUAAAGCUCCUUCGACGAGUCGAGUAGUUUGGGAAUGCUGCUCAAAAUGGGAGGUAUAUUUCUUCUAAAGCUAAAUAUUGGCCAGAGACCGAUAGCGCACAAGUAGAGUGAUCGAAAGAUGAAAAGCACUUUGAAAAGAGGGUUAAACAGCACGUGAAAUUGUUAAAAGGGAAGCGCUUAUGACCAGACUUGCGCCCGGUGAAUCACCCAGCUCUCGCGGCUGGGGCACUUUGCCGGCUCAGGCCAGCAUCAGCUCGCUGUCGGGGACAAAAGCUUCGGGAACGUAGCUCUCUUCGGGGAGUGUUAUAGCCCGUUGCACAAUACCCUUCGGCGGGCUGAGGUACGCGCUCCGCAAGGAUGCUGGCGUAAUGGUCAUCAGCGACCCGUCUUGAAACACGGACCAAGGAGUCAACCUUAUGUGCGAGUGUUUGGGUGUUAAACCCCUACGCGUAAUGAAAGUGAACGCAGGUGAGAGCUUCGGCGCAUCAUCGACCGAUCCUGAUGUUCUCGGAUGGAUUUGAGUAAGAGCAUAUAGGGUUGGACCCGAAAGAAGGUGAACUAUGCGUGUAUAGGGUGAAGCCAGAGGAAACUCUGGUGGAGGCUCGCAGCGGUUCUGACGUGCAAAUCGAUCGUCAAAUAUGCGCAUGGGGGCGAAAGACUAAUCGAACCUUCUAGUAGCUGGUUUCCGCCGAAU